AGGUCUGGAAGCCACAAGUCUAACAUCAUGGUAUUAGCUGGUCUGUUUUCCUUUUGGAGUCUUCCGAUGCCGGUGGUAAUUCCAACCAGAGAUUUGGCAACUGGUUGCACAGAUCUGGAAAUUGGUAGGAAAAUCUGGAUUGAAGCUACAGAUUAGGGAGGGGAUCAUUAACAUGAAAUGAGUACGGGUAAGAACCCAAGAAGAGAUGAGAAGGGAAAGGGAAAGAGGAAAGAACCCUGGAAAACAAAAUUGAACGAUUAUUGUGAAUUACUUACUUCCUGGUAAUUGUACUACAUAUCCACAUCCUUGCAGUAGCUUCAUGGUGGAUGAAUGUUACACCCAUACCCUGACAUUGGGCAGAGCUCUAUGAUGUGCUUUGGCUAAUGGAAUGUUAGUGGGCAUGAUAUGAACAGACAUCCCCUCUUAUGAUCUUCUGUGAGGAAACAUGCCCUCAGUUGCCACUGGCCCUUCAGACUGGGCCCAGAAUGAAAACAGGCAGAACAGACCUGAGCCUGACUUGCAACCUGGAGUCAAGUCCAGCUGACACAGAGUCCCCCCUAGUUUGACUGAACUGCAGUUUGGCUGCAGACUUGAAAGUAUGAAAAUAAAUGCUUGUUGCUGUGGGCACCUGAGUUUGGGGAUGGUUUUUUGUUAGGCACCAUUACUGUACCAGUUGCUAAUUAAUAUAAAUAGCAAUGCUAAAUUGACAGAGAAGAACCCAUGAAAGGACUAGAGAAGGAUGAGCCACACAGGUUAGAGAGCAUUCAGGCAAGAGGAACUUCGCAGUUGCCAAGAAGGGAGUGUUUCAAUAAGAGAAAAGGCCUUGCGUGGGCAAGGUCAGAGGCCUCAGAGAAGUCAAGCAAGUCAAGGACCAAAACGUAUUCACUGGAUCCAACAACAAAGAGAUAGAGGAAAUUUAUAUGAUCUCUACACAUUUCUCUGGGGAAUAAGAGAUGCAGCCUUCUGAGAGUGAGAGACAAGAGGACUAGAGACCUGGAAGAAAGCUAUACAAGCCGCAGACUUUGCUGAGAGGAAGGGGAGAGAGACCAUGUGAUUUUCCCCAGCCGUGAGUGCAGCCUUAACAGAAAGAAGAAAAAUCUGUGUAUUCGAUGUGGCGUUGGGAAUUUUUUGGAGCAUGUGAGACUAAAAGGCAUAAAACAUUUUUUUUUCUGUCAA